UACGUAGGGGGCUAGCGUUGUUCGGAAUUACUGGGCGUAAAGGGCGCGUAGGCGGUGUGUCAAGUCAGGCGUGAAAGCCCCGGGCUCAACCUGGGAACUGCGCUUGAGACUGGCACACUCGAGUUCGGGAGAGGAUGGUGGAAUUCCCAGUGUAGAGGUGAAAUUCGUAGAUAUUGGGAAGAACACCGAUGGCGAAGGCAGCCAUCUGGACCGACACUGACGCUGAGGCGCGAAAGCGUGGGGAGCAAACAGG
rnacentral:rRNA from 1 species